rnacentral:rRNA from 1 species
UACGAAGGGGGCUAGCGUUGCUCGGAUUGACUGGGCGUAAAGGGCGCGUAGGCGGAUAGUACAGUCAGGCGUGAAAUUCCUGGGCUCAACCUGGGGGCUGCGUUUGAUACGUAUUGUCUGGAGUUCGGAAGAGGGUCGUGGAAUUCCCAGUGUAGAGGUGAAAUUCGUAGAUAUUGGGAAGAACACCGGUGGCGAAGGCGGCGACCUGGACAGAUAUUGACGCUGAGGUGCGAAAGCGUGGGGAGCAAACAGG